GCCUGACGCAGCGACGCCGCGUGGGCGAUGAAGGCCUUCGGGUUGUAAAGCCCUGUCUUCGGGGACGAAAUCCUCCGCAAGGAGGGAUGACGGUACCCGAGGAGGAAGCACCGGCUAACUCCGUGCCAGCAGCCGCGGUAAUACGGAGGGUGCUAGCGUUGUUCGGAUUCACUGGGCGUAAAGCGCAUGUAGGCGGCCUGACAAGCGGGAAGUGAAAUCCCGGGGUUCAACUCCGGAACGGCUUUCCGAACUGUCUGGCUAGAGUCUGGGAGAGGCGGGUGGAAUUCCUGGUGGAGCGGUGAAAUGCGUAGAUAUCAGGAGGAACACCGGUGGCGAAGGCGGCCCGCUGGAACAUGACUGACGCUGAGAUGCGAAAGCGUGGGGAGCAAACAGGAUUAGAUACCCUGGUAGUCCACGCUGUAAACGAUGGAUGCUAGGUGUCGCGGGGGUUCCCCUGCGGUGCCGGAGCUAACGUUUUAAGCAUCCCGCCUGGGAAGUACGGUCGCAAGAUUA
rnacentral:rRNA from 1 species